rnacentral:rRNA from 1 species
UAGUAACGGCGAGUGAAGAGGGAAAAGCUCAAAUUUUGAAUCUGGUGUCUUUGACUCCCGAGUUGUAAUCUAGAGAAGUGUUUUCCGUGUCGGACCGUGUACAAGUUCCCUGGAACGGGGCGUCAUAGAGGGUGAGAAUCCCGUAUAUGCCACGGACUACCGAUGCUCUGUGAUACACUCUCAACGAGUCGAGUUGUUUGGGAAUGCAGCUCAAAAUGGGUGGUAAAUUCCAUCUAAAGCUAAAUAUUGGCGAGAGACCGAUAGCGAACAAGUACCGUGAGGGAAAGAUGAAAAGCACUUUGGAAAGAGAGUGAAACAGUACGUGAAAUUGUUGAAAGGGAAGCGUUUGAAGUCAGUCACAUUUGUUGGGAUUCAGCCUGGCUUCUGCCUGGUGUAUUUCCUUUCCGAUGGGUCAGCAUCAGUUUCGACCGAGGGAAAAAGACAUUGGGAAUGUGGCUAUCUUCGGGUAGUGUUAUAGCCUGGUGUUGUAUGUCUCGGCUGGGACUGAGGAACGCAGCGCGCCAUAAAUGGCCGGGGGUCGCUCCUCUCGACACGCGCUUAGGA